UGUACUCAAAAUUGGCUUCAAUCUUCAGUGCAAAUUUCGCUUCGACAAGCCAUGGAUGAUGUUGAGCUAUUUGAAGAUUAUGGAAAAUGUAAUGUUCUUAAAAUCUUUUUUGGAAGCGAAGUUAGCUUCACCUUCAGCAGCAUCACCUUCACCAUCAAGCACUGUUACAAAUCUUGACUGAUCUGCCUACAUACAUUGCAACCCCAUGUGUAUGAAGCCAAGUUUAAUGUUGGAGCUUGAAGAAGUGCUUACAUGCAGGAUUACUGAAAAGAAACUUUUUUUGACAAUUAAGCAUUUUGUCCAGCAAUGGAUUGCUGUAAUUUGUUUCACUAAAGCAUUUUGUUGUAAUGUAAAGCUUUAGA